AUAUAUGAAAUAUUUCAAAUUUUAGACUAGACUGAUCAUGCUUUGUGAUGUGCUGUGGUGGCUUCUUCGCUUUAGUUGGAAACACAUCAGCGGUGAAACCCCCCCAGUUCUAUCUGGCUCGCCGAACCAGUAGCACCGGCAGUGGGAGGCUCCACCCACCCAAGACAUCAUCACAUCCCAGUUUUUUACCAUCUGCGAAUGCGCAGAAGAGGCACACUCUCGUUCCUGAACCGGUAGUGAAGUUAGUUGACUGGGACUUAUAUGGAAGUUCAAAGAAGAUGACAGAAUGACUAAGAAUAAUGGAUGAUUUAGUCAAGGCAGUUUGGAAAACAAAAGGCAGUCACUUGAUGGCAGUAAUGAGAAGCACAGAAAGGCUAAGUCAGCUCCUUCGCUUUUCACUCCUCCCUCUCACUGUGCAGACUACAACUUGUGUGUCAUGACAGCUUUCUUAAUAACCAGCCUUUCCAAUAGAUGAAUCUGGGACUCUUUUGUUCAUCUAUCAAGCGGUCAGAUUCUCUGUAUUUGCUUGUCUUGGUGGAAUUGUACUUAAUAAAGCUGUGAUUUCUUUCAGGAA